rnacentral:rRNA from 1 species
GGCACAGGGGCUUCUGCAGUCGAGCGAUGGAUUAAGAGCUUGCUCUUAUGAAGUUAGCGGCGGACGGGUGAGUAACACGUGGGUAACCUGCCCAUAAGACUGGGAUAACUCCGGGAAACCGGGGCUAAUACCGGAUAACAUUUUGAACUGCAUGGUUCGAAAUUGAAAGGCGGCUUCGGCUGUCACUUAUGGAUGGACCCGCGUCGCAUUAGCUAGUUGGUGAGGUAACGGCUCACCAAGGCAACGAUGCGUAGCCGACCUGAGAGGGUGAUCGGCCACACUGGGACUGAGACACGGCCCAGACUCCUACGGGAGGCAGCAGUAGGGAAUCUUCCGCAAUGGACGAAAGUCUGACGGAGCAACGCCGCGUGAGUGAUGAAGGCUUUCGGGUCGUAAAACUCUGUUGUUAGGGAAGAACAAGUGCUAGUUGAAUAAGCUGGCACCUUGACGGUACCUAACCAGAAAGCCACGGCUAACUACGUGCCAGCAGCCGCGGUAAUACGUAGGUGGCAAGCGUUAUCCGGAAUUAUUGGGCGUAAAGCGCGCGCAGGUGGUUUCUUAAGUCUGAUGUGAAAGCCCACGGCUCAACCGUGGAGGGUCAUUGGAAACUGGGAGACUUGAGUGCAGAGAGGAAGUGGGAUUUCCAUGUGUAGCGGUGAAAUGCGUCAAGAUAUCGAGGACACCAGUGGCGAGCGACUUUCUGGUCUGUACUGACACUGAGGCCGCGAAAGCGGUGGGGGAGCAAACAGGAUUAGAUACCUUGGUAGU